GACAGAGGAGCCAAGCGUUGUCCGGACUAACUGGGCGUAAAGCGCACGCAGGUGGUUGCGGGCGUCGGUGCUGAAAGCGCGCCGCUUAACGGCGCGAGGCGUGCCGAUACGCUGCAACUGGAGCCCGCGAGAGGUCCGUGGAAGUGCCGGUGUAGUGGUGAAAUGCGUAGAGAUCGGCCCGAACACCCAAGGGGAAGCCAGCGGACUGGUGCGGCGCUGACACUGAGGUGCGACAGCGUGGGGAGCGAACAGG
rnacentral:rRNA from 1 species